UUUCGCAAUGCCCGAAAGGGUGACGAAGCGACGCCGCGUGGGUGAGGAAGGCCCUCGGGUUGUAAAGCCCUGUCAGGAGUUAAGAAAUAUAAGUGUGCUAAUACCAUAUUUAUUUGACGAAGGCUCCAAAGGAAGCCACGGCUAACUCUGUGCCAGCAGCCGCGGUAAUACAGAGGUGGCAAGCGUUGUUCGGAAUUAUUGGGCGUAAAGAGCACGUAGGUGGGUUUGCAAGUCAGAUGUGAAAGCCUUCUGUUCAACGGAAGAAUUGCAUCUGAAACUACGAAUCUUGAGUGUAGGAGGGGAGAAUGGAACUUCUGGUGGAGCGGUGAAAUGCGUAGAUAUCAGAAGGAACGCCGGUGGCGAAAGCGAUUCUCUGGCCUAUUACUGACACUCAGUGUGCGAAAGCUAGGGGAGCAAACGGGAUUAGAUACCCCGGUAGUCCUAGCCGUAAACGAUGGGCACUAAGUAGAGGGGUUUU
rnacentral:rRNA from 1 species